rnacentral:rRNA from 1 species
UACGGAGGAUGCGAGCGUUAUCCGGAUUUAUUGGGUUUAAAGGGUGCGCAGGCGGUCUGUUAAGUCAGCGGUCAAAGCCCGGGGCUCAACCUGUGGCCUGCAUUUGAAACUGUAGUUCUUGAGUACUGGAGAGGCAGACGGAAUUCCUAGUGUAGCGGUGAAAUGCGUAGAUAUUAGGAGGAACACCAGUGGCGAAGGCGGUCUGCUGGACAGCAACUGACGCUGAGGCACGAAAGCGUGGGGAUCGAACAGG